rnacentral:piRNA from 1 species
UGACAAAGCUGUUCCCAUAUGUGAGC